GUGGGGAAUUUUGGACAAUGGGCGAAAGCCUGAUCCAGCCAUGCCGCGUGCAGGAAGAAGGCCUUCGGGUUGUAAACUGCUUUUGUACGGAACGAAACGGCUCUGGUUAAUACCCGGGGCUAAUGACGGUACCGUAAGAAUAAGCACCGGCUAACUACGUGCCAGCAGCCGCGGUAAUACGUAGGGUGCAAGCGUUAAUCGGAAUUACUGGGCGUAAAGCGUGCGCAGGCGGUUUUGUAAGACAGGCGUGAAAUCCCCGGGCUCAACCUGGGAAUGGCGCUUGUGACUGCAAAGCUGGAGUGCGGCAGAGGGGGAUGGAAUUCCGCGUGUAGCAGUGAAAUGCGUAGAUAUGCGGAGGAACACCGAUGGCGAAGGCAAUCCCCUGGGCCUGCACUGACGCUCAUGCACGAAAGCGUGGGGAGCAAACAGGAUUAGAUACCCGUGUAGUCC
rnacentral:rRNA from 1 species